AAGCAAUGGGAAAGUAAAGUGAAUGCUUUAAUCGUGUCAUACUAAUUGUUCUUCAUUGUUUUGCAUGUGUGUAUCCAAAACCAGUGCUCAGAAAAUGCAACUUGGAGAAACACAGCGCUCAUACCGCAGAUAGCGAAAUGCCUUGCAGCAGCUUUUAGGUGUGAAUCGGAUGCUUUUUGUGCGGAUUGACCCAGCUUGACCUGAAGCCAGCAACUCCCACUCGGGCUAAAGACCAUCUUCCCAGCUGGUGAAUGCAGGCUGAGACUGAACCACCUCUGUUUUAUAUCAAUCUGUAUGCUACUGUAAAUCUCACAAAACAUUCAACAACAAUUUUAUAACAGAUAUAUCCCAGUCUUUAAACAUUUCUAAAUAACAAAUAACGGGGAGAUGUGUUCUGUAAUGCUUCAUUUUGCUGCAUACAAGCACAUGAAAUGUUUUUGCUUGUUGUCAUUAUAAAUAUUAAGUUAUAAUGGAGAUACAGUCCUGUGAUGAUCUAAAUUCUGUUUCUGAGGUGACUCAACUGCAGUUUUGCACUGCAGUGUUUGGAGAACUUAUAAUAUAUUGAAUUUUGAUGUUUAGAAAAUAUUAGUCAAUGGAAGGUUCAAGGAUCUUCAAACCUGUGAGGACUGCAGGGCGAGUAAAAAGAAAAGAUAAUCAAAGGGCGAGGGAAUGGAAAAGGCAAACCUUUCCCAUGGAUAGACAAGUAGACACACACACACACACACACACACACACACACACACACACACACACACACACACACACACACA